UCAUUAAGUUGGGCACUCUAAUGAGACUGCCGGUGACAAACCGGAGGAAGGUGGGGAUGACGUCAAGUCCUCAUGGCCCUUAUGACCAGGGCUUCACACGUCAUACAAUGGUCGGUACAAAGGGUAGCCAAGCCGCGAGGUGGAGCCAAUCCCAGAAAACCGAUCGUAGUCCGGAUUGCACUCUGCAACUCGAGUGCAUGAAGUCGGAAUCGCUAGUAAUCGCAGGUCAGCAUACUGCGGUGAAUACGUUCCCGGGUCUUGUACACACCGCCCGUCACACCAUGGGAGUGGGGGAUACCAGAAGUAGAU
rnacentral:rRNA from 1 species